rnacentral:rRNA from 1 species
CCUACGGGAGGCAGCAGUGAGGAAUAUUGGUCAAUGGGCGCGAGCCUGAACCAGCCAAGUCGCGUGAGGGAUGACGGUCCUACGGAUUGUAAACCUCUUUUGCCGGGGAGCAAGCGUGCGUUCGUGAACGCGCGUCGAGAGUACCCGUAGAAAAAGCAUCGGCUAACUCCGUGCCAGCAGCCGCGGUAAUAGGGAGGAUGCGAGCUUUAUCCGGUUUUAUUGGGUUUAAAGGGUGCGUAGGCGGAGUUCCAAGUUAGCGGUAAAAGUGCGGUGAUAAACGCCGUCGAGCCGUUGAAACUGGCGUUCUUGAGUGGGCGGAAAGUAUGCGGAAUGCGGGGUGUAGCGGUGAAAUGCAUAGAUAUCACGAAGAACUCCGAUUGCGAAGGCAGCAUACCGGAGCCCUACUGACGCUGAGGCACGAAAGCGUGGGUGUCGAACAGGAUUAGAUACCCUAGUAGUC